CGUCAAAUCAUCAUGCCCCUUAUGUCCUGGGCUACACACGUACUACAAUGGCCGUCAACAACGGGAAGCGAAGCCGCGAGGCGGAGCAAAUCCCCAAAAACGGUCUCAGUUCGGAUUGCAGGCUGAAACCCGCCUGCAUGAAGUUGGAAUUGCUAGUAAUCGCGAAUCAGCAUGUCGCGGUGAAUACGUUCCCGGGCCUU
rnacentral:rRNA from 1 species